AUCUGUUUAAAGAAGGGAGAAGGGACCACACAGAAUCUAAGACUUGAGCAGAAGAACUUGGUCAAGCAACUGCUCAGACUCACUUAACUGGACACUUUUGGAAUGUGAAGCCCGGGGGAUUCACCAGCAGCAUCACUUUGUUCUCCUUUUCAGGCAAGUCUGGCCCAUAUAUGGGCACCUGGUGUUUGAGGGAUUCUGGGGGGACUGGUCCCCUUUUCCCUUUGGAGCCCCAGAGCCUUAUCUAAAUGACACGGAUCCAUCAUGAUUUGAAAGCAAUUCUGUUCAUCAAAACAGAGGAUGAGAUGGUUGGAUGGCACCACCGACUAAAUGGACAAGAGUCUGAGUAAACUCCAGGAGUUGGUGAUGGACAGGGAGGCCUGGAGAGCUGCAGUCCAUGGGGUCGCAAAGAGUCGGACACGACUGAGCGACUGAAUUGAACUGAACUAUUCAUCAAUCACAUUAUCAGAGAAAAAAUACUUUCUGGUGAUGGAGUAACGCAGUGUCAUUUUCAAAAAGAACUUUCCUGCAGUGCUUUCCUCAGAGGCACCGGAGGUACUUGACCAGAUUUGCGUCUCAACUUGACAGCAUAUUUACUUAGAAGAGAAGCACCACUAUUACCAAUUCCA
ensembl:lncRNA